rnacentral:lncRNA from 1 species
CCGGCUGCCAGCUGAUUUUCACGGCAUGGUUCCAGAGCAUGAUUCAGUGAUUUGUUCAAAGCCACACCACCAGUGGAUAACAGAGAAGAGAGAGAAAGCAAAGUCAUUAGGCCUCUUUCUGCUGCCCUGGCCCCAUGAGAGAACCUACAAUAAGCAAUCUGCUGUGACAUUCUGAACAUAGCCCCCUAGACAGAAAUUAAAUGUGUCAAGAAGGACCACUUUGAAAACCUUUGUGCCACCAGCCCCUUCCCUCCUUCCAAUUAGCCUACUCCCACCCCAUGACCCUACCUACCUAUCAAGUCGGCUUCCUGUUAAGAGGACAACAUGCUCUAGAGACAAGUAUUUGCAGUUGGAGGAUCCCUGAAGCUGCCUCUCAAAUUCUCAAGCACUUAGGGUGGGAGUCGCUGAGCUACUGGCCUUCUUGGCUGAACAUUUCAGGGGAAACAGCAGAUUGAGAGUAAGCAAGUAAAUGGGAGCACCCUGGAGUUGCUGGAAGUCAUUGUUACCUUUUUUUCCCUUUUUUCAUUUAUGUGGAUGGGUAGUUGUCACCUCAAAUUGACCUUAGUGUAUCUUCAACAUAGUUGUAAUGUAAGGAACCCACAGUUUGAAGACUAAUAACUUGGGUUUGAAUCUUAGCUCCAUCAUUUAUUGCUAAUUUAACUUUGAGCAAGUUUCUUAAACUUCUAUACCUUGGUGUUCCCAUGUGUAAUUGAGUACUUG